rnacentral:rRNA from 1 species
CCUACGGGAGGCAGCAGUGGGGAAUAUUGCACAAUGGGGGAAACCCUGAUGCAGCGACGCCGCGUGAGCGAUGAAGUAUUUCGGUAUGUAAAGCUCUAUCAGCAGGGAAGAAAAUGACGGUACCUGACUAAGAAGCCCCGGCUCACUACGUGCCAGCAGCCGCGGUAAUACGUAGGGGGCAAGCGUUAUACGGAUUUACUGGGUGUAAAUGGGAGGUUGACGGCGUUGCAAGCUAGAUGGGAAAGCCCGGGGAUCAACCCCGGGACUGCCUUUGGAACUGUAUAGCUGGAGUGUCUGAGAGGCAGGCGGAAUGCCUAGUGUAGCGGUGAAAUGCAUAGAUAUUAGGAGGAACUCCAGUGGCGAAGGCAGCCUGCUGGACGAUGACUGACGUUGAGGCUCGAAAGCGUGGGGAUCAAACAGGAUUAGAUACCCGAGUAGUC